rnacentral:rRNA from 1 species
UACGGAGGGUGCUAGCGUUGUUCGGAAUCACUGGGCGUAAAGCGUGUGUAGGCGGGCCCGUAAGUGUCUUGUGAAAUCCCACGGCUCAACCGUGGAACUGCUGGGCAUACUGCGGGUCUUGGGCCAACUAGGGGCAGCCGGAACAAGCGGUGGAGCGGUGAAAUGCGUAGAUAUCGCUUGGAACGCCGAAGGUGAAAACAGGCUGCUGGGGUUGCGCCGACGCUGAGACACGAAAGCCAGGGGAGCAAACGGG